rnacentral:lncRNA from 1 species
AAGUCAUGGAUAAAUCAUCAAAUCUCAAUAUUAGUCAUAUGAUGGAUUUGAUUAGCUCAAGUCCAGAUGUAAUUUCUAUGAAAAUUCUUUUCCAUCAAUCACCCUACUGUGGCCAUAGAUUCAUGGACUUAGCUUCUCAAAUCUCAUAGGACUACUUCUCUCUAUCAAGGUUGAUAGAUCCUAUCUUGAUGCGCACCUUACUACAGUGGACCAACUGUCGCCA